rnacentral:lncRNA from 1 species
GGAGGCGGGGAGGAUGGCCGGGGAGGUGAUGGUGGAGCACGUCGGGCGCCUCGUCGUGUGCCGCGGCGACGGGUUCUAGCUCGGCCGCCCGGCGCCGGUGCUCGCCAUCGAUGACCGGCUUGAGGCCGGUGCCACCUACCUCGUCCUCCCCGUCGACCGUCUCCCUCAGGUCCGGACAUCGUCGCCGCGGUGUCAACUCACUUUUCUUCUUGCAUUGCAUAGUGAUUCCAGUGAACACUUGUUGCGUGUCAAUUUGUGGUACGUGCUAACUUUUUGAUGAAACAGAUUUUGGCGAGAAGAUUUUGUGAACUAGCUGGGCUCUGCUGCCUAUGGCGGACCUCACGUUGAGCAUUGUGCAUUAGCUUCUAGCGGUCAUCGGCAAGGAGGCGGAGCUCCUGGCCGGCG